CAAGAGUGGCUGGUGUGCCUGGCUGGGGGAGCUAUAGGACCUCAGACAGCAGUGCUGGCAGAGGCUGGGGGGAAUGCGAAGGUGCUCUGAGCUGGCUGCUGGGGCUCCAUCAGGACAAGGCCCUGAGAUUGUGUGUGACAUGGCUGAAGGCUUGGGUAGCUGAAGACUCACGACAAAGCAGAGAGAAAGCGCAGGCACAUGCACUGAGACAUGGCGCUCGCAAGGGAAUGGAGCCCAGAACUAAAGAUACCACUCCACCUGAGGCCUCACCAGUGCCAAGUACAGUGGGACGAUUACCUCCCAUGUCUUACAUACAAUACUCCUAUUAAUACACCCUGGAAUAUUGGCUGUUUUUGCAACUGCAUCACACGUUAACUUAUAUUCAAUUUAUGAUAUACAAUGUCAUUCCUUUGGUUAUCCCCCUAGAGAAGUGUGUGUAUACUAGUUCAAACUGAGUUCUCCUGGGACCACAGACAAAGAGAGGAUUUGGGGAUAAAUGAACUGUGUUCAGACUGACUCGGGGCUUUCUUCCUGAUCCAGUAAAGAGACAGGACCCCUAGUCCAUGGAGGGCCCCAAUCCUUUGGGAAGGGUUGGAAGGACUGGACCUAGUCUGAGCUGAGGCUAUGAAAAUUUGUGACGACCAAAAAAAGCCCAUGUGU